GACGAAGGGGGCUAGCGUUGUUCGGAAUUACUGGGCGUAAAGCGCGUGUAGGCGGUUGUUCAAGUCAGGUGUGAAAGCCUUGAGCUCAACUCAAGAAAUGCACUUGAUACUGGAUGACUAGAGGACCGGAGAGGAUAGUGGAAUUCCGAGUGUAGAGGUGAAAUUCGUAGAUAUUCGGAAGAACACCAGUGGCGAAGGCGGCUCACUGGACCGGUAUUGACGCUGAGGCGCGACAGCGUGGGGAGCAAACAGG
rnacentral:rRNA from 1 species